GGCCGCGCGGCCGGUCGGCGGGCCCGUGGCCCUGCUGCGGCGGCACGGACGGCACCCCGUACGGAGCCGUGGGCGCGGCCG
rnacentral:tRNA from 2 species